UACAGAGGGUGCAAGCGUUAAUCGGAAUUACUGGGCGUAAAGGGUGCGUAGGCGGUUAUGUAAGCUAGAUGUGAAAUCCCCGGGCUUAACCUGGGAACUGCAUUUCAUACUGUAUAGCUAGAGUAGAGUAGAGGGGAGUGGAAUUUCCGGUGUAGCGGUGAAAUGCGUAGAUAUCGGAAAGAACACCAGUGGCGAAGGCGGCUCCCUGGACAGUUCCUGACACUGAGGCACGAAGGCCAGGGGAGCAAACGGG
rnacentral:rRNA from 1 species